rnacentral:lncRNA from 1 species
CGAAAGCUCGGGUUCCUUCAGCCAGCUGAAGGGAAACGCGGACAGCCGGGCUUGCAGGGCCGGGUCGCGGCCCCACGGCUUUCUGCGGGGACAACGCCAGGCCUGGGCGGGGCGAGGGGGGUGGUGGGGUACAAAGGGAGCCUCCGUGCGGCCGUUCCGCGGCUCGGCACUUUGCCGCCGCUCCCUUGCGGCCAGCCGCCGGCCUCGCACAUUCUCCCCGCUCCCUGGCGCCGGCCAGGGGGAGGGAGGGGGAGAGGAGGAGGAGGAGGAGGAGGAGGGGCGGGGUGCGGGCCGCGCCUGCGCAGUGCCGCCGCCGGGGCGCUGCGGCAGUCGUGCGGGGCACUUCUUCCGAGCGCGGCAAGGAGGUCAGGAAAGGAACGAGUUGCGCUGUCUGUAUGCAGAAGGGAAGUUCGCGCUGCUCCGAGCGCUUUGAAACACCCACAGGCUCCACGUUACCUGGGUUUCAUCCCGGUGCCCGCUCGGUCGGCACGUCUGUCUGCGGGGCUUUCUUCUCGUAGGCAGAGAGCUGCGGCGUGGGACUGCUCGCCAAGAGCAGAGGGCAGGAGAGGUUUUGGGUGAGCUCCUCUCUGAUCCGCGCGGUGAGCGGCGAGCGCGUGUCCAGCCGCUGGUGUGGGGAGGCAGAGGGUGAAGGGUGGCUGCUAACUGGGAGCAACGCAGGGAAGGUGAGCGUUGUCCUUCUGGCCUGGGUGAGCAUUUCAGGAGUGUUAGGGCCAGCCCAGGAGUGACGUGGGUGAGCUGAGCCUGGGAGCACAGGGUUCUUGCCUUUCCCACCUGGAAGGCUAGACCAGCCUCAGGGAAGGCUUUGUGGAAGAGAGGUGGGUAACCAUUAUUUAAGGGCAGAAGUAGGAACCCCAUGGAAUCUGUCAUAGGCUGGUGUGCUUCUGGAGUGCGAUAUGCUAGGGGAACUGAGAAUCAAGACCUUCUUUACUAAAUUAUUUCUGUAUUUAUCUUCACAGUGCCCUUUGUAGCCAAGGAGUGUCAUUAUUUUGCAUUGUUUGUGUUUUGUGAACAACGAACAAGUUGAAAACUGUCUCAGUGUUGUAUAUGAAGUCUUUGGCCAUGCUGGAUAUUAAGGCUUUCUCUCCUUUGUCCAGUUCCGUUCCAUAGUCCUCCACUCACCCUUCUUUUGGAAAAACAGGCUCAUUUGUCAAUAAAGUAAUUGUUCUGCCCGUUAUUGAUAGGUAA